GGAAGGGAAAAAAGGAAUCCAGGAGGGGGACAGCUGUAACAGACAGGCUAACUCAACACUGUAGCUAGCUCGGUCCGACGAUAAGACACUAUGCUGGCCCAAGUCCCAGGUUACGGCACUAGAUGAGAAAUCUGCAGCUGUGUUUAUCUCUCAGUCAGCCACAGACAGCCAUGAGAAAAGAAAAAGUACACUGAACAGUGCUGCAGAGAUGGAAAACACAGGCAAGACAACGAAGGGGGAAAGCAGAGCUGCGCGUCCCUGGAGCUAGUGUGUUUUGGGAAAGUUGAAGAGACCACAGAAAGCCAAUUUGGACUGAUACAAAGAACACCAGAAACAGAGGUCAUGGAACAAAACACCCCCAAAGGAACCCUAGACUUAAAAACCCUCCUGAGAGCUGGAGCAAUUUGGAGAUCACAGCGGACCCCGGACAAUCUGGACUCAGGACAAGAACUCCCGUCCACCCCUCCCCCUCUUCUUCUUACAUUACACCCAGGCUUGGCCAACCUCGGGUCGUGUGUGUGUGAGUAUGAAAGAUGUUAACUCCAGGAUCCACUCUACAUGUGGCAGGAAGAGAAGCGAGCAACAGGCCUGACUCUCCCACCAAAGCAAUUACGCCCUGGCUGCUGGGUGUCUGCCAUGAUCCAGGCAAGGUGCUCUGAGACUCACCACACUUAUUUCCAGGUACAACUGCAGCACACAGACAGAAGUGGAAGUAUUUGGAAAGAAAUCAGAAGGGAUGGUAGUAAAAUUGAUGUCAUUUCCUUCACCUCUUUUUCCUCAGUAGGGCUUUCAUCAUUCUACCAUUUUUUAGCUUUGUUGAUUGAUUUUCCCCCCUCAUUUUUCCUUCUAGUUUAGCAUUUUAAAAUAAAUUUAAUUUUUUCACAAAUUUAUUAUUAAACAUAUGCAGGUCAAAAAAUCAGUCCCAGAAACCCAAUACUGCUGUCCCCAGUAGCAGCCACUUAAAGGAAGUACUUCAAAGACACAUAGGGAGAGGAACAGACUAUCAAUAGACACUAACAUAUUCCUAAAAUCAUUCUUCAGCAUAAGUGUCAUGAAGAAAACGAACAAUCCACUUCCAGUAUUCGUCAAUCAAUGAACAGUUGAGGAUUAAAAUUAAUAUUAUAGAAUAGAAUAACCAAUUAUCAGCCUGAAAAAAAAAUUCCAUGUCCAUUCAUCAUGGGCUUGUUCCUCCAAGGGGUGGGUAAGGUUUAAGACAGGGAUAACAGCACUGAGCUACCACGAGGCUUCUUGAGCAUGGUGCUUCGUUACUUCACUUUCUGUACCGUAACUAAGCCAAGGACUGAUGUGCAGGCAAGAACACUAUACCCAGCACACUUCAUGAAGCCCUUCGGAGCUGGCUGUGAGAUUUGUUGUUUGCUCAGAACCCUUGGAAGCUAUUCUCCGUCACUGUCUGGCUCUCAUGUAGAGCUGGACUUUGGACCCACGAAGCCUGGCUCCCCCUCAUCCCUUCCGACACCCGGGAUCUAGUUCCAGCGUUUAUUUUCUUUAAAAGUAAGUUUCUAGCUCUUUUUCUUGCCAAGAUUUCCUCAAGACUAUGAGCAACCAGUGCACGUAAAUCAACCAAGUAAACCAAUGCACACUGAU